AUCGCAGUGGUUCACAGUUCACUGGAGCAAGGCAAUGGCUUAAGCUUCAGUCUGUUCUGUACUUAAAGCUAUUGUAUGGAUUCAGAAGACUUGGACUUUAGUCAUAAAUCUAUAGAGUCAUAUGGACUACUUUCAUGAUGCUUUGCUUAUGUCUUUGGUGAUUUUUGCAACUUAAGUGAGGUCAGCUGUCAUUGUAUAUUAAAACAACUUGAUUGAAGAUCUUUACAAGUUUGGAGCGACAAGAGUGUGUACCUUGCUGCUGACUGAGACGGAGAUGAAAAGUGGAGACUAGCUGCUCUGCUGUCUCAGCACCUCGCCGGACUUGUUAGCUGUAAAAUGCUCUUCUCCACUGUGGAUGCAGUCCAGGGGCCGUGCUCUAAUAUCUGGGUGUCGCUGCAAGCUGGCCCCCACCGGACUGACCCGAUAAAUAAUUGCCGCACUGAGCCAGGGUCUAUUUUUAGGAAGUUGCCACCAAAUUCCCUGUGCACUUUCAUCAUCUCAUGUGACUCGGUUCCUCCUCGCUAAGAACAUGUCUGCCGACAGCUGUGCCGGAGCAGAGACCACACUCCCAAAUCACUUGCUCUCGUGUAAUGAGCCUGGCACUGGAAUUCUCCAGACGACAAAAAUGAGGAAAGGGAGGAAAAUAAGUUUUACUGAGAACAACAAGGGGGAACACAAAGACAACUGAUGAUCAUAAAUUAGAGAAUUGUUAGAGAAAAAUUGAUUUUAUCUUAAAUAACAUCAGAAUGUGAGUCACAUUAUGUAUUUGCAGUGGGUGAGCGUGAUUUCAACAUGUACAACAUGUUCCUGGAACAACAUUCCAAUCAUCCAAUCAGAAUAGAGACAUUACUUUUCAGGAAAUAUCUGUUUUAGGCUUACAAUCAGGGUUAGGUGCUUCUACACCCUUGUUAAUCAUUUCGCACUGAUUUUAGGAAUAAAUUAUGGGUAGGGUUAAGUUUAGGUGUAGGGAUUGGGUUAAGUCUAUAUUUUUGGACAAUGAUGUUGAGCCAGGAUCAUCAAAAGAUGCUGAUCAAGAACAUGUCUUACUUGGCAAAAUCACGGCAACCAUUUUGCAAAGUUAUCAUGCUCUGUGUUUUUGAUACAAAAGGAUGGAUGGAUUUAUGCAUGCAGAAAAAGAU
ensembl:lncRNA